CGCAUGUGAAAUAGUGAAAAUCUGGUACGAUUUGACUAGGCUUUUAUUUACAAUUUUCUCCAGAGUCGGAUUUGCAUCCCCGGGAAUCAAUAUUUUUUUGUAGUGUUGAUUUAUCAUGUUUAAUCUUAGUUUAGUCAGGCACACCAAUUUCAGAUUCUGUACAGAUUUGCAGACAACGACGGUUAUGAACGUGCAAUGUUAAAAACUUUAUAAUGAUGCUUAAGGAUUCAACCAUUAAACUCUAAUCUACUCAGAAUGCCGCAAAUGCAGCAGAAUAGCCUGCCUAUGGAAAAACAAAAACUUGCUU